GCAGAGAAAGGUGAUUGCAAUUGUAGUGUGGCAUAAAGCCAUCCAAAUCCAAGUUCUAGAGAAAGGAGUAUCGUGCCAGAUUAUGGGUCGGUGCAAAACACAGAGGACAAAAGACACGGUUGAGUUUAAUUGAAUUGAGUUGAGUAGUGAGAAAAAUCAAUUAGCUGUUAUGGCUAUGAAGGCCACGCCAAUCACUGGUUUAGGCUUCGUUUCAACAAGACCUUCCUCACGUCCACCCCUCAAAUCAUUAUUUCUCAGUUAUGGUGCAGGAGCAUUGGAAGUUCCUUGUAUAAGGGUAUCCUACUCAGAUAGAUUAAAAUGUAAUAGUCAAGGUGGCGGUGCCCUUGGUGCUCAGAUGAAUGUUUUUAGUAGGUUUGCUAGAGUUAUCAAGUCAUAUGCUAAUGCCAUUAUAAGCGUCUUUGAAGAUCCUGAGAAGAUAUUAGAACAAGCUGUGAUAGACAUGAGUAAUGAUUUGAUAAAGGUUCGCCAAGCUACGGCACAAGUUUUGGCAUCUCAAAAGCAGUUAGAAAGCAAGUACAAAGCCGUACAAAAAGCUUCUGAUGAUUGGUAUCAAAGGGCACAGCUGGCUCUUCAGAAGAGGGAUGAGGAUCUUGCCCGUGAAGCUCUUAAGCGAAGAAAGUCUUAUGCUGAUAAUGCAACUGCUUUGAAGAUACAGCUUGAACAGCAAAAGAAUGUUGCUGAUAGUCUUGUGUCCAAAACACAGCUUUUGGAGAGCAAGAUACAGGAGGCAAAGUCAAAGAAAGAUACCCUUAAAGCAAGAGCUCAGUCUGCAAAGACUUCAACCAUAGUUAGUGAGAUGGUGAACAAUAUCAACACAAGCAGUGCCCUUGCAGCUUUUGAUAAGAUGGAGGAAAAGGUACUAACCAUGGGGGGUCAGGCGGAUGCAUUGAAUCAGUUGACUACUGACAAUCUUGAGGGAAAGGUAGUUUUGCACUGCUAGAGAACUCUUCUGUCGAUGAUGAUCUUGCAGAGUUAAAGAAAGAAUUAUCUGGAAGCUCCAAGAGGGGAGAACUUCCACCUGGAAGAAGUGUUCCCACCAACAAAGAAUUUCCCUUCUUAAUGAACUCCGAAGAAAAGCAAAGUGGUUCUAGCGUCUAGGUUGUGUGAUUGGUUUAACUUACUUUUUAAAAAUAAGUAUUUUAUUUCAUAAGUUUACUUAGAAUUUUAAAAAUAAAAGGACUAUUUCUCUAAUAUUGCCAUGCUAAACAUGGGCUUAGUCUCUAUUGAUCAUUCAUUUAAUCAGAUCACCCACCGUAGGGAUUAAGUUUUUCUUUGGCCUAACUAUUUAGAUCUUCUGGUCUCCUUUUUUAAGUUAUUUAAUUUGAAAUUGGAAAGCUUUUUAAAUAAUCUUUUGGUAUACCAAUCAUAUACAUGAUUUACUUUGGUUAAUGAACAAUAAUUUAUUGCGAAAAUAUUUGGCACGAUUUUGUGAUGAAAUAUUGUGUGUCAACGGAUAUAUCAUAUAGCUGUAAUUUAUAGUUAGACAUCGCUGAUGUUUUGGGUUUGUGGGUGGAUUAUUUAGAGUAAGUUGUAAUGGGCUUAAAAGUGUUCCACAGUUUCUAAAGAAUGUUAACAAGAAAAUUUUAGGUGUCCAUUAACGCUUUUUUUCUAAUUUCACCCAAAAAAAAUGCAUUAGGUUUAAAUAUAUUUUUGCUUCAUACAUUUUUGUAAAAAAAAAAAAAAUUUAGAUCUUUUAAUUUUUUUUAUCUCAAUAUUUGUACAAGUUCUUGGUUUUGAUUCCUUUCACUUACGUGACUAAGUAAUAUGUUGUCGCAUGUUAAUUUUUUUGUGGAGCCAUGUGAAUCUGAGGGACCAAAAUUUGUUUGGGUUUAGAGUUUAUUCAUAUCCUAAUUCUAUCUAGCUUAGAUUUGAGUAUAGAAGUCUAUUGAUGUAUUUAAGAUGAAUAACUUUAAGCAGUAAUUUAAUAGAAAAAUAUUAUAUAUUCUUUUUUUAAUAAAACUCAUAAUAAACUUUAAACCAACUACUUUAUGUCUAGAAGUGAAAUUUAACUUCUGUAAAAUAAAGAAUUGCAUGAAGUACGAAAGUAAACAUUUAUUCACCUUUAAUUUGAAAUUAAGUAUUUAUUACAUUUAUCUUGUAACUCUAAGGAUUGGUAUUAUUAUUGUUAUUAUUAUAGAUGUAGAGUACAAAAUAGAGAAAGUGAUAGUUUUUGGUCAAUUUAUUGUAGUAAUGAGUAAAUAUAUUUGGGGUUUGGAAGAGUACCCAGCCCAGCCCAAUUGAGAAAGGAGAGGGAAGGGCCGAAGCGAAGCCCUAAAAAACAAAAUAGCAGAAGCAUUGGAAGUGGGAAUAGCAGUGGUAAGAGUUGUUACCUCUCUCAUCAAACUCUUCAUCGGAAUAACGACUCCAUGGCGACAGUUCAUCUCCUUCGACCAUGCUUCCUUCCCUCAAUCAAACUCAAACCCUCCACCUUAACACUCCCCAGACCCACAACCUACUCACCCCUCAAACCCAAGCCAAAAAACGCCGUCGUAUCGGCACGCAUGUCCAACAACAGUACCUCUACCCCAGCCACGGAGCGUUUAAUCUCAAUCGCAGCCUACACACUCCCAUUCUUCAACUCACUCCAAUACGGUCGCUUCCUUCUCUCCCAAUACCCAAAACUAGCACUUCUCUUCGACCCUAUCAUUCCCUUCCUCGCAUUCUACAGGUCUAUCCCUUACUCCUCCUUCGUUGCAUUCUUCGCCCUCUACUUGGGAAUCGUCAGAAACCCUAAUUUCCCCCAAUACGUGAGGUUCAACGCUAUGCAAGCCGUUACACUCGACGUUCUCCUCGUCGUUCCGCUCCUCCUCCAGCGGAUCUUCUCUCCGGGUCGGGCCGGCAUGGGCUUUCGGAUAAUGCUUUGGUCUCACAAUGCUCUCUUCGUCUUCAGCAUUAUCUGCUUCCUCUACGCCCUUUCUUCUUGCGUCUUGGGUCGCACCCCUUACUUGCCCUUUGUUGCCGACGCUGCUUCUAGGCAAAUCUGAUUUACAAAGCCUACUGCAAUUCAAUUUUUCUUGUAGCUUUCGCUUCAACUUUUGGUGUAUUGGCGUGGUUGUAUCAUAUUUUUGCGAUUAUAAUCCUAAUGGCAAAUAUUAUCCCCUUUUUUUUCGUUAAGACAAAUCAUUUCUUUUAUCAUAGUUGGUUAUCCAAUCUUAUUUUUUAAAAUUAAGAGAACUCCUCUCCUUAUAACACCUUUAAUUCUUUUGGAAGAAUAUUUUUCAUAAAUAUUAAAAGUAUUAUUUUUAAAGCAUACAUCUACUUUUUACAUUAUAUUUAUUUGAAAAUUAGUCCAUAUUAAUCCUGAUGUUUCACUCUUUUUUUAUAUAUUAAACGGGAACAUUUUGACCCAGCAAACAGCUCAAAGAACAAGUCUAAGAUCCCAAUGUAAUAUCAUCAAAUAGAAUAUAAAUGUACAGCCAUUUAUAUUAACGAAUAACUCAUAAAUUAAAAUUUAAUGAAUAAAUAUUACUGUACAAACCAAAUAUAUAUUUUAACCUUCAAUAAACAAACACGUUAAUCUAAUACCUUAAACGUUUCUUCAAAGACAAUUAACUACAUUCUAUGAUAGUUUUUCUUUAGUUAAUUUCCCUGACAAUUC